rnacentral:tRNA from 1 species
GCGGAAGUAGUUCAGCGGUAGAACACCACCUUGCCAAGGUGGGGGUCGCGGUUCGAGUCCCGUCUUCCGCU